rnacentral:rRNA from 1 species
ACGCUGUAAACGAUGAGUGCUAAAUGUGAGGAUUUUAUCUUUGUAUUGUAGCUAACGCGUUAAGCACUCCGCCUGGGGACUACGGUCGCAAGACUAAAACUCAAAGGAAUUGACGGGGACCCGCACAAGCGGUGGAGCAUGUGGUUUAAUUCGAUGCUACGCGAAAAACCUUACCACUUUUUGACAUGAAGGUCGUAUCCCUCCUAACAGGGGGAGUCAGUUCGGCUGGACCUUACACAGGUGCUGCAUGGUUGUCGUCAGCUCGUGUCGUGAGAUGUUGGGUUAAGUCCCGCAACGAGCGCAACCCUCAUUCUUAGUUACCAACAGGUAAUGCUGGGCACUCUAAGGAAACUGCCAGUGAUAAACUGGAGGAAGGUGGGGAUGAUGUCAAAUCAGCACGGCCCUUAUAGGGUGGGCUACACACGUGCUACAAUGGCAACUACAAUAGGUUGCGAGACCGCAAGGUUUAGCUAAUCCAUAAAAGUUGUCUCAGUUCGGAUUGUUCUCUGAAACUCGAGAGCAUGAAGUCGGAAUCGCUAGUAAUCGUGGAUCAUCACGCCACGGUGAAUACGUUCUCGGGUCUUGUACACACUGCCCGUCACGCCAUGGGAAUUGGCUUAACUCGAAGCUGGUGUGCUAACCGCAAGGAAGCAGCCAUUUAAGGUUGGGUUAGUGACUAGGGUG